AAUAGCUCAGUCGGUAGAGCGUUCGGCUGUUAACCGAAAUGUCGUAGGUUCAAGUCCUACUU
rnacentral:tRNA from 1 species